CACCAGUGAAGGAGUGUAGGGGGAUGCCCCCAAUGAGAGAGGGACAAACUAGCCUUUGUCCCCCAAAAAAGGAAGAAAGCCCAGAAGUUUCUCCCAACGAUCAGGUGAAAAGCCACCUUAUAGGACCCCAGAGACUUCACUAAAACCUUAGGGUCACCUAAUUGGAUGAGAGCCAAAAGAUCCCGCCUGGGCCAUCAGGUAGAAAAAGAGAAGACAAAAAAACUGCGAGGCUUUUGUGAAGGUGUUUUACCAGGAGCAGACCUCUGUACCUGGAUCGGAUUUUCUGUUUAUUGUUUUUCCUUUUAUUAAACAGUUUGGUUUCCAACACUGCAGCAGAAGCCAUCCUGCUCAUUAUUUGCCUCCAAAGGUAAUAGCUGAGCUAUCCUUUGUGUGUAUUAAGUUUUCUUUUAAAGGCUCAUAAAACCCUGGCCCGACGAAACAAAACUUAAUACGUGGCACCUGGACAGAAUUUCUCAUAUUGAGGAAGAUGGUCUAGGAAUUUUUGAUUACCUCAAUCAAAAUAGGACAAUUUUCCUUGGUAUUUGCGUUUUUGGGGAAGCAGGCCUGCACCUGAGUUUUUUGUCGCGUUAAAAAAGAAAACUCAGAAGAAGAGAUUUGGGGUUUAGAGGGAAUCCCAAAUCGAAGCCUCAUACCGGUGAAGAAGAGGCUAUAAUUCAGACGGGACGGGAGCAAACGGCACACCCUCAGAGGAUACUGUGAAUCGGCUAAGCUGAAACUGUUGCACCCAGGACCCGGGAAAAAGUCUAUACCAAGAAGGACGACCAGAAGACUCGAGUCACAGAACAACACAGCUGUCAUCGCUUGGACCAGGCACAUCAGCCGCGGGCGGCCUCAGCUCACCUGUGUCCUGAAGCACCUCGGGCAAGCCAUCACCCUCACUGGCCUGAUAGAUACCGGAGCAGACGUCACUCUGAUAUCGAGAUCGAAAUGGCCACAGGACUGGACCAUCGUGCCUACGCUGGAUCAGCUGGCAGGUAUUGGUGGUCACUGUGAGAGCUUUCGAAGCUCGCACGCAGUCACAUUUGAGGGGCCUGAAGGUCGUGUUGCCACCACAAGACCAUUCAUUGUAGGAGCUGAUAUAGUUCUUUGGGGACGGGACAUUUUAUCACAAUGGCAUCUCAGGUUAGAAACUGGAUUUUAACAAGAUAUCUUAGUAGCAGCAAAGGACCAAGCAUCAAUGCAGGAGACAACAGAUCAGGUCAUCUCAGCAGUAGAGAAAGCAGGACUCACUGUAGCAAAAGAAAAAAUACAGACACUUCCUCCCUGGAAAUAUUUAGGAUACAGGAUCACAGAACAAACGGUAACUCCGCAGCCACUCCAGCUAAGGACAAAUCCAAAGACCUUGAAUGAAGUGCAGCAGCUUGUAGGCACUCUGAACUGGCUUCGUCCACUACUAGGCCUUUCAAAUCAGGACUUGGCUCCUCUGGCAGAUUUGUUAAGAGGAGACACAGCCUUAAACUCACCGCGAGAAUUCAACAAAGAAGCUCAAAAUGCUUUAGAGAAAGUGAUGAGAGCCAUCCAGUCACGUCAGGCUCAUCGGUAUAAUCCUAACCUGUCUUUUUUGUUUGCAGUUUUAGGGGAGAGUCCACAACUUCAUGAUUUGAUAUUCCAGUGGGAUCUAGAGAAGAAGGACCAUCUGAUAAUCUUAGAGUGGGUUUUCCUAUCGCGUCAAUUGGGUAAAACUAUAACAACUUGCCCUGAAAUUAUUUCACAAUUGAUUAUCAAGGCUAGAUCUCGAAUGCUUUCCCUUGCAGGAAGAGAUUUUGCAGAAAUCUUUCUGCCUGUCACAACCAUCUACUUAGAAUGGUUAAUUCAAAAUUCAGAAGUUAUGCAAUUUGCUUUAGAAAAUUUUGCAGGAAAAAUUUCAGUCAAUUGUCCCAAACAUGAGCUAUUAAGUUCAUCUUUAAAAUUAAUUCAUAAGCCUUUAAGAAGUAAUGUACCCCUUGAGGCAAUCACAUUUUUUACAGACGGUUCUGGGAAGUCUAAAAAAUCUGUGAUUGCUUGGCAAAAUUCAGAGACAAAAAAAUGGGAAUCAGAUAUUGAGGAAGUAGAUGGUUCUGCACAGAUUACAGAGUUGGCAGCAGUUGUACGGGUCUUUUCAAAAUUCACAUUUCCUUUUAAUUUAGUAACAGAUUCAAUUUACGUUGCAGGUGUGGUGGAAAGAGCAGAAGGAUCUCUGCUAAAAGAAGUUGCUAAUGAUCAGUUAUAUAGUUUGCUCAAACAGUUAAUCUUACUUCUUUCCAUUCGACAAGAACCUUACUUUGUAAUGCACAUUCGCUCACAUUCUUCUCUUCCAGGUUUCUUAGCAGAGGGAAAUGCCAUGGCUGAUUUGUUAGCCAUGCCAAUCCAGCACACACUUCCUAAUGUUAUUGAACAAGCAAGAAUGAGCCAUGCUUUCUAUCACCAAAAUGCACCUGCUUUAGUAAGAAUGUUUAACAUCUCUCAGAAUCAGGCAAAAGCAAUUGUUCAGUCAUGUCCAAAUUGCCAGAAAUUAGCUAUACCAGCAAUAGCAACAGGAGUUAACCCUCGAGGCUUAAAUAGCCUGCAGAUAUGGCAAACGGACAUCACUCAAUAUCAGUCAUUUGCAAGGUUCAAACAUAUACAUGUAUCAAUAGAUACCUUCUCAGGAGCAAUUUUUGCUUCUGCACAUCAAGGAGAAAAAAGUAGAGAUGUGAUUAAACAUUUCUUACAAGCAUUUGCAUCCCUAGGUAUUCCUCAAGAAGUCAAAACUGACAACGGACCAGCCUACAUUUCUAAUAAAUUGCAAGAGUUUUUCAAAACUUGGGGUAUCAAACAUACCACAGGUAUUCCACAUUCUUCCACAGGCCAGUCUAUUGUAGAAAGAGCACACAGGUCAUUGAAAAUGAUACUAGAAAGACAGAAAGGGGGGACAGAAGUGCUUUCUACAAUAGAGAGGCUGAAUAAAGCUGUAUAUGUUUUUAACUUCUUAAACAAUUCCUUUAUGGAGCAGGUACCACCAAUUUUCAGGCAUUUCAGCAAUACCAGUCAGGCAAAGCUCAAGGAAAGACCACCAGUCUUCAUCAAGGAUCCAGAGACAGGACAGAUUUCAGGACCCCAUCCUCUUGUAACAUGGGGCCGGGGGUUUGCAUGCAUUUCUACAAACACAGGUCUUCGAUGGAUCCCUGCAAAGAAUGUCAAGCCACAAGUGCAGCCGAUCCGAGAGCAGCAGACGGCACCAGAAGAAGAAUGCACAAACAACUGAGCCACGGAUAGAAGCAAAGACUGUUUUCUAAGUUUGCAUUAGUUAAAAUUGUUUACAAGAAAGUUUUGCACUGAAAAAAGUUUUGUAGUUAUUGUUGUGAUAAAAAAGUUGUUAAACCUACCUCUAUGUAAAAGUCACACAUAUAGCCAGAAAUUUGAAGCCUACCUGGAAAAACACUUCACCAAAGUUAAGAUAGAGAAUUGGCAGCAAAAAUUAUUGGCAUUCUAAUCUAUACUCCUUUCUCCUCUUUCUUUCUAAAUGUAUAGUAAAGGGUGAGAUGAAGGAGUGUAGGGGGAUGCCCCCAAUGAGAGAGGGACAAACUAGCCUUUGUCCCCCAAAAAAGGAAGAAAGCCCAGAAGUUUCUCCCAACGAUCAGGUGAAAAGCCACCUUAUAGGACCCCAGAGACUUCACUAAAACCUUAGGGUCACCUAAUUGGAUGAGAGCCAAAAGAUCCCGCCUGGGCCAUCAGGUAGAAAAAGAGAAGACAAAAAAACUGCGAGGCUUUUGUGAAGGUGUUUUACCAGGAGCAGACCUCUGUACCUGGAUCGGAUUUUCUGUUUAUUGUUUUUCCUUUUAUUAAACAGUUUGGUUUCCAACACUGCA